rnacentral:rRNA from 1 species
UACGUAGGGUGCAAGCGUUAAUCGGAAUACUGGGCGUAAAAGCGUGCGCAGGCGGUGAUGUAAGACAGAUGUGAAAUCCCCGGGCUCAACCCGGGAACUGCAUUCGAGACUGCAUUACUCGAGUAUGGGAGAGGGAAGCGGAAUUUCCGGUGUAGCGGUGAAAUGCGUAGAUAUCGGAAGGAACAUCAGUGGCGAAAGCGGCUUCCUGGCCCAAUACUGACACUCAUGUGCGAAAGCGUGGGGAG